rnacentral:rRNA from 1 species
ACCGGCAAACGGGUGCCGAACACGUACGCAACCUUCCUUUAAGCGGGGAAUAGCCCAGGGAAACUUGGAUUAAUACCCCAUAAGACGGUGGUGUGGCAUCACACAGCUGUUAAAGCUCCGGCACUUAAAGAUGGGCGUGCGGCUGAUUAGGUAGUUGGCGGGGUAAAAGCCCACCAAGCCGACGAUCAGUAACUGGUGUGAGAGCACGACCAGUCACACGGGCACUGAGACACGGGCCCGACUCCUACGGGAGGCAGCAGUAAGGAAUAUUGGUCAAUGGACGCAAGUCUGAACCAGCCAUGCCGCGUGGAGGAUGAAGGCCCUCUGGGUUGUAAACUUCUUUUAUUGGGGAAGAAACCGGACUUUUCUAAGGCCGUUGACGGUACCCAUUGAAUAAGCACCGGCUAACUCCGUGCCAGCAGCCGCGGUAAUACGGAGGGUGCAAGCGUUAUCCGGAUUCACUGUGUUUAAAGGGUGCGUAGGUGGGUAGGUAAGUCAGUGGUGAAAUCUCCAAGCUUAACUUGGAAACUGCCGUUGA